GCUCAAGCCACAGGGUCACCACAUACAUCACCCACUCACGGAGGUGGCCGCUCUAUGCCCAUGCCCGUGCGUUCCACAUCUGCUGGCUCCACCCCGACCCACGGCCCGCAGGAUUCACUGAGUGGAGUUGGGGGAGAUGUGCAGGAGGCCUUUGCACAAGGUACGAGGAGAAACCUCCGCAAUGACCUGCUGGUGGCUGCUGACUCCAUUACCAACACCAUGUCAUCCCUGGUGAAGGAGCUCCAUUCAGGAGAGAUCACACAUGUGUCCUGAUUGGCUUUCCCAGCUAAGCAGAGAAAGGUACAGAGGAAGAAGAAGAUGCAGGAUGAGAAAGACAGAGGUUAGCCCAGGAGCGGCCGGGACACAGGAAGCUCAGGCGCAGAGGCGGAGGAGCAAGCUGGCACCGACAAGACAAGGGAAGGUCUUCCCCCAGAGGCACAUUCCUAUCCGUCUUUCUGCUGCACACCUGGACCAGGCUUGCAGGCUGCCAGACUCAUUCAACCUCCAGAGAGAAGAGCCAAGCCUAUGGGAAGUGGGGAGGGACUGCCUGAGGCUGCAGCUGGUGGGCCUCCUGCAUGUACUAGCAUCUGCAUUCCUCCCUCAGGGCAUGGUCUCAUCUCUGCAUCAGGAAUUUACCAGGAGAUGGAAAAGAAAAGAAAAAGCGCUGA
rnacentral:lncRNA from 1 species